CGGCGACGCGAUGUUUUUGUCAUACAGUGGGCAAACUCAUUAUAAGAGUAGUUUUUAAUUUUGUAUACUAGUUACUUUGUUGUCUAGGAUUUGAAGAAAACCAAAUUACAAUCGAUAAUUGUAAAGAUUUAACAGAUUCCAUGAAAAAAGAACUCAUCCCUAUAAUUGGUACAAGAAUUGAAUUUUUAAAACAUUUUGAAGAGUUCAAAAGAAAAAUGAAAACAGACAAUGACACACCAUUAUUACACAUUCCAAGUGAUAAUACAAGUCUCGAUGCUACUCAAAGUACUAAUGAAUGUAAUGAUGUUUUGCCUCUCUCCAGUAUCUCCAACAUUGAUGAUUUUAAUGACAUCCAAUUUAAUCAAGACACAUCAACUGAUAAUGAGUCUUCAAGCAGUGUUAUUAUUGUCCCGGCAACAAAUAGGACAAUAUCCUUCUGUGGAAUAGAAGAUCUGCACACACAGAAUUUGGAGAAAAGUUCCCAGAGUUUGACCUAAAAACCCUUUUAAGUUUAUCACCUUAUGGUAGCCAAAUAUUAAAAUAUUACACACAAUUUGGCAGACUGAACGAGUUCUUAAGAAACAAGUUGGUCGAUGUUUAUAUGAUUACUCACCUCUACUCAUAUAUACUGCAACACCGACUAACACAUACUCAAUACAACAUAAUAUGUGCAAAAAUUAUGACACUUUUUCCCAAUGAAGUAAGUGCAACUUAUUAUAAAUCUGGAGCAAAAAAUGGACAGGCAAUACAGGCCAAAGGAAAACUUGUUUAUAAAGCACAUAACAUGAUUAGUAAUUGUCCAGACAAAUCCUAUGUAAGAAAACGAAAGUCUGCCCAGGCGGAACUUGAAAAAAACGAGCUAGAAUUGAUACGGAAGGUACCCAACCCAACCCAAUAGCUUAUAUUCGUCAACAAAUUUUGUAUAAUAUGUUCUUUUUUAAUAUUAUAUGUUAAGUAAUCUCUUGGU